GUCCUUGUAGUGUAGUGGUUAACACAUCGGACUGGAAUACCGAAGACGUGGGUUCGAAUCCUGCCAAGGGCA
rnacentral:tRNA from 1 species